rnacentral:rRNA from 1 species
CGUGUAGGCGGUCCUGCAAGUCUGAUGUGAAAGCCCUGGGCUUAACCCGGGAAGUGCAUUGGAAACUGCAGGUCUUGAGUACUGGAGAGGAUGGGGGGAAUUCCCGGUGUAGAGGUGAAAUUCGUAGAGAUCGGGAGGAAUAUCAGUGGCGAAGGCGCCCAUCUGGACGGUAACUGACGCUGAGACGCGAAAGCGUGGGGAGCAAACA